UCAGGUUAAACUUAAAGUUAAGAUUUUCAUUUACACUGAAAGAAGAAAUUCGUGCAAAUCGAUAUAACUUGAA
rnacentral:tRNA from 1 species